CCUACGGGUGGCAGCAGUGAGGAAUAUUGGUCAAUGGGCGGAAGCCUGAACCAGCCAAGUAGCGUGCAGGAUGACGGCCCUACGGGUUGUAAACUGCUUUUAUACGGGAAUAACGCGCCUUACGUGUAGGUCUUUGCAUGUACCCUAUGAAUAAGGAUCGGCUAAAUCCGUGCCAGCAGCCGCGGUAAUACGGAAGGUCCGGGCGUUAUCCGGAUUUAUUGGGGUUAAAGGGAGCGCAGGCCGCAUGUCAAGCGUGCUGUGAAAUGUCCGGGCUCAACCCGGGCCUUGCAGCGCGAACUGGCGUGCUUGAGUGCGCGGAAAGCAGGCGGAAUGCGUCGUGUAGCGGUGAAAUGCUUAGAUAUGACGAAGAACCCCGAUUGCGAAGGCAGCUUGCUGCAGCGGAACUGACGCUGAUGCUCGAAAGCGCGGGUAUCGAACAGGAUUAGAUACCCCAGUAGUC
rnacentral:rRNA from 1 species